UGCCCCGUUCAAAGUAUGGCUCAGUGAGGCUGCGGCUCUUCUCCGAGGAGGAUCACAGCUGCGGAGGCGUCUGUGGAGCAGCAGCGGAGCUCAAACCGGCAUCUCAAACUCCCUCCAGACCGGAAACGUUCACCUUGAUGGAUCUGCCUAAUUAACUCCUCUGGGGAUUAUUAUUGAUGCUCAUUCAAAGAGUUUCAUUAGUUCAAGGUUUUCAGUGCAGACUGCGCGGAGAACAACAUAUAUCUAUUUCCCCCUUACUCUAAUCAAGAUGGCAUCAGCUGAUGGAUUCAAACCUCUAUUUAAGGAUUGCCGUCUAUAUAAUGAAGGGAUUAUCAGGUCUGGGAGUAUGGAUGUCCCACGGGAUUCCUGGGAUCCACGCGUGGUCAAGCGGUGUCCUGCAGACACAGGGAUCAUCUCUGUUUUAUUAGGCUUCACUUCUGGUGUCUGUGUUCCUGUGGAUUUUGGCUCGACAAACGGAAAACCAACAUUAUUCUGGAAUAUAUUUUCUAAACUGCGCUCCAGUGGAUGUCCAGGGAUUUAAUUCUUUCUAAUCUAGCAGUAGAAGAAUCCAAUUAUGGAUAAAGAUAUCAGCCUGUAAUCAUCUCCCUUGGACAUUCUGAAGGUCCCAUUUCUGUACCAUGGAGAGACUGAGUAAUGGAAAGAUGAUCUCAACGGGUUUAACCAGGACUCCACUAAGUCCUGAUUUGGACUGUAGACCAACAUCUACAUCUGCAAAUGUUUCCUCCUGGCAUGAGGUCCAUCACUGGGACUCUGGUCCUAAGAAUCGAUUCAACCUGUGGAACUACAAAAGCAAGGAUACAAACCCAGCAGAAUUUUUAAUUUUAUUCGAACACUAUGGAGCAGCAAAGGUAAUAUCUAGAAAGAAGCAUUCUUUAGAAAAGAGAGCAUCAUCAUCUACAAAUUGAUUUACUUUUUUCUUUGUAUCUGAAAUAGUCUUGGUAUUAUUCUUAUUUAUUUAAAAUGUUUGUGUACAUAUAAAAUUUUCUUAUGUGCAAUAAAUCUACUUGCAAUAAAGGGUCCACAGGAAAAUUGCUCCAAAUGUGAAAAUUUGUCUUCAAUCUCCUUCACAAAGAAGUCAUUGUCAUCACAGUAAAUGUAAACCAAAAACUCUCCUAAUCCAGCUGCAUAUUUUUGUGACACAUUGUCAGCUUUCAUUAAUGCUGGAUAAAGUUCUUGCCAAGUUUUGCAUUGUGAUUUACUGCUGUCUGUAAAACCUUAACGGAAAUAAAAAAAAUGUAAAAAGUUA